rnacentral:rRNA from 1 species
UACGGAGGAUGCGAGCGUUAUCCGGAUUUAUUGGGUUUAAAGGGUGCGUAGGCGGCUUUUUAAGUCAGCGGUGAAAUUUUGCAGCUUAACUGUAACAGUGCCGUUGAUACUGGGGAGCUAGGAUUUGGUUGCUGUGGGUGGAAUGUGUGGUGUAGCGGUGAAAUGCUUAGAGAUCACACAGAAUAUCGAUUACGAAGGCAGCUCACAAAGCCAAGAUUGACGCUGAGGCACGAAAGUGUGGGGAUCAAACAGGAUUAGA